UAACUAUUGUUGAGCUACUUUUGAAGUAAGUGAUCCCUAGUCAAUAUCUUUUAUUCAAAAUAAAUAUCUUUUGUUUAAAAUGGUAAUAUUUUAUUAGAUAUCUUUACUUUCUUACAAAGUAUCUUUUACUUUUAAGGAAAAAAACAAAAAAUUAAAUGAGGUGUUUAUUGCGCCCACUUUUCUUUUUUCUAAUUCAACUUAAUGCAUUGACUUGAAGUGCGUGAAAAUAGUCAAAAGGAGGACGGGGCCAUUUAAAAAAAAGUUGUGAAUUAAAGUUUAUAUACUUUUGAUGUAAAUUUUUUGUAUUGAUAUAUAAUAGUUGUUUGAUACGUUCCAAACUAAUUUUUUUAAGUCAAGUCCGGAUCAAUUCCAUUAAACUGAAGAGUAGAUGUCUAUAAAGAUAACUUCAUCCCACCAUAAAUUGGAUGGGUAAUCAACAACUAAAAACGCUAAAACAUGAGUUGAGUUAUUUACUCUUAUAUUAACAUCUGAAAAGGUAAUAGAACUAAAUGCAUCAGCAAUUGUCCUGCAGUCUUGGAUGAUUAGGUCUAUAUCAUGCCUUCUUCUUUUGUCGUUCAUACCACUGAUCAUGACUAGAGAGACACUGCCUUAAAGCCAUGGCGUCCGCCACAUUGGGAUCCCAUUGCUGAGUCUCCAAGUGCGAUGUCGCUACAAUGAGGCGUGCAUUGUGUGAGCGCACCACCAUACCAAAUCCACAGAUAAGUGCGUGAAGUAAUAAACGAUGAAAGACACAGGCAAUAUAUCCUGGUUCACCCACAAACGAUGGAGCUACGUUCAGUCCUUGGCUUAACCAAGAUUUCCACUAAAAAGUUUCAAGGACUUCUCCUACAUCAAGUAUUCGAUAGGACUUCUCCCACAACAAGUAUUAGACAUGACUCCUCUCAACCAAGUGUUCUACAGGACUUCUCCUAACAAGUAUUAGACAAGACUUCUACCAACAACUAUUGUUCAGAACUUCACCUAAGAUCUUUUUCAAGAUCGUUUGGCUCUACAGGGUUCUCUUCUCACAAGAGGGAUAGUAGAAAUUGCCAAGGACAUGAACUACAAAGUGUUUGAGAGAAUUUGACUCUGAUGUGUACGUUGUAUUCUUGUUCUAGAGAGAUUUGAGUAUGAAGAUUUGACUCUUAAGUGUUUCUCUCAAACGAUGUGGGGACUUUUUUUUCUUGCUUACUUGAAGAAGAUUUUUUUUUUGUAUAUCGGAAAAUACUUGAAGAAGAUUUUAAUUCAAAUAAAAGUUUUAGCUCAA